rnacentral:rRNA from 1 species
AUGCAGUUCCACCUCUGGUCGCUCGAGGGGGCGGCCGAGGUCUUGGGAGACAAGUGCAUCAUCGACCGCCUCGACAGCCGCACCCACGAGCGCGGGCACACGAAGACAUUUGCAUGCUGGGUGUGGGUGUGGGAUGUGGCGUUCAUCCCCACCCGGCACACCAUCUGGAGGGCGGCGCGGGGCGCUGGCCGUGUGGAGGCCAUGCUGGGCUAUUCGCCGCCGAGCCGGGAGGUGGCGCCGCCACCGCGCGUUCGGCACCAUGACCUGCUCAUCCACGUCGAUCGCAUCGAGGAUUGG